AUUGAACGCUGGCGGCAGGCUUAACACGUGCAAGUCGAGCGGUAACAGAGAGAAGCUUGCUUCUCUGCUGACGAGCGGCGGACGGGUGAGUAAUGCCUAGGAAUCUGCCUAGUAGUGGGGGAUAACUUGCCGAAAGGUAAGCUAAUACCGCAUACGUCCUACGGGAGAAAGGAGGGGACCUUCGGGCCUCUCGCUAUUAGAUGAGCCUAGGUCGGAUUAGUUAGUUGGUGAGGUAAUGGCUCACCAAGACCGCGAUCCGUAACUGGUCUGAGAGGAGGAUCAGUCACACUGGAACUGAGACACGGUCCAGACUCCUACGGGCGGCAGCAGUGGGGAAUAUUGGACAAUGGGGAGAACCCUGAUCCAGCCAUGCCGCGUGUGUGAAGGAGGUCUUAGGAUUGUAAAGCACUUUAAGUUGGGAGGAGAAGCAGUUAACUAAUAUUUGACUGUUUUGACGUUACCGACAGAAUAAGCACCGGCUAACUUCGUGCCAGCCGCCGCCGUAA
rnacentral:rRNA from 1 species